rnacentral:rRNA from 1 species
GCGUGCUUACACAUGCAGUCGAACGAUGAACACCGGAGCUUGCUCUGGUGGGAUUAGCGGUGAACGGGUGAGUAACACGUGAGCAAUCUGCCCCCGACUCUGGGAUAACCCCGAGAAAUCGGAGCUAAUACCGGAUACGACACCUCCUGGCAUCAGGUGGGUGUGGAAAGAAUUUCGGUUGGGGAUGAGCUCGCGGCCUAUCAGCUUGUUGGUGAGGUAAUGGCUCACCAAGGCGACGACGGGUAGCCGGCCUGAGAGGGUGACCGGCCACACUGGGACUGAGACACGGCCCAGACUCCUACGGGAGGCAGCAGUGGGGAAUAUUGCACAAUGGGCGCAAGCCUGAUGCAGCAACGCCGCGUGGGGGACGACGGCCUUCGGGUUGUAAACCUCUUUUGGCAGGGAAGAAGCGAAAGUGACGGUACCUGCAGAAAAAGCACCGGCUAACUACGUGCCAGCAGCCGCGGUAAUACGUAGGGUGCAAGCGUUGUCCGGAAUUAUUGGGCGUAAAGAGCUCGUAGGCGGUGUGUCACGUCUGCUGUGAAAAUCCAAGGCUCAACCUUGGACUUGCAGUGGGUACGGGCACACUCGAGUGCGGUAGGGGAGAUUGGAAUUCCUGGUGUAGCGGUGGAAUGCGCAGAUAUCAGGAGGAACACCGAUGGCGAAGGCAGAUCUCUGGGCCGUAACUGACGCUGAGGAGCGAAAGCGUGGGGAGCGAACAGGAUUAGAUACCCUGGUAGUCCACGCCGUAAACGGUGGGAACUAGAUGUGGGGUCCGUUCCACGAUUCCGUGUCGCAGCUAACGCAUUAAGUUCCCCGCCUGGGGAGUACGGCCGCAAGGCUAAACUCAAAGGAAUGACGGGGGCCCGCACAAGCGGCGGACCAUGCGGAUAAAUUCAUGCACCGCGAAGACCCUUACAAAGCUUGGACUAUAAGGAAAAGUGAGGAAUGCCCUCCCCGCAGGUCUCUUACAGUGGUGCAUGUUGUCGUCGCUCGGUCGUAGAAGUUGGGUAAGUCCGCAACAGCCAACCCUGUCCAUGUUGCCGCCCUUAUGGGGGAACCUUGGGAACGCCGGGG